UACGAAGGGGGCUAGCGUUGCUCGGAAUUACUGGGCGUAAAGGGCGCGUAGGCGGCACUGUUAGUCAGGCGUGAAAGUCCUGGGCUCAACCUGGGAACUGCGCUUGAUACGGCAGAGCUAGAGGAUGGAAGAGGCUCGCGGAAUUCCCAGUGUAGAGGUGAAAUUCGUAGAUAUUGGGAAGAACACCGGUGGCGAAGGCGGCGAGCUGGUCCGAUUACUGACGCUGAGGCGCGACAGCGUGGGGAGCAAACAGG
rnacentral:rRNA from 1 species